UACGUAGGGUGCGAGCGUUAAUCGGAAUUACUGGGCGUAAAGCGUGCGCAGGCGGUUUUGUAAGCCAGAUGUGAAAUCCCCGGGCUUAACCUGGGAAUGGCAUUUGGGACUGCAAGGCUCGAGUGCGGCAGAGGAGACUGGAAUUCCUGGUGUAGCAGUGAAAUGCGUAGAUAUUGGGAGGAACACCAGUGGCGAAGGCGGCUCACUGGACUGGUACUGACGCUGAGGCGCGAAAGCGUGGGGAGCGAACAGG
rnacentral:rRNA from 1 species